rnacentral:rRNA from 1 species
CCUACGGGAGGCAGCAGUGAGGGAUAUUGCGCAAUGGGCGAAAGCCUGACGCAGCGACGCCGCGUGGGGGAUGAAGGCCUUCGGGUUGUAAACCCCUUUUAUCGGGGAAGAACACUGACGGUACCCGAUGAAUAAGCCUCGGCCAACUACGUGCCAGCAGCCGCGGUAAGACGUAGGAGGCGAGCGUUACCCGGAUUUACUGGGCGUAAAGAGGGCGUAGGCGGCUUUCUAGGUCCGGGGUGAAAUCUCCCGGCUCAACCGGGAGGGGUCCUCGGAUACCGGGAGGCUAGAGGGCAGCAGAGGAAGACGAAAUUCCCGGUGUAGCGGUGAAAUGCGGAGAUAUCGGGAGGAACACCAGUGGCGAGGGCGGUCUUCUGGGCUGCCCCUGACGCUGAGGCCCGAAAGCGUGGGGAGCGAACAGGAUCAGAUACCCUG